AUGUCGAGCUCCACUUCAGCCUCCCGCCCCUUGUGGACCCAGUAUGGUCCACUUCCCAUGGAGCGAUGUCCUGACUGCCCACGCAGCGCACCACUGAUAAAGUUGACUUCAAAGGAUGUCAAGAAUGGCAACUAUGGGCGCGAGUUCGUGAAAUGCGAGAGCAAGCUAGAGGGGCAGAUCGUGAAGAAAUGCACACAUUUUUAA
rnacentral:rRNA from 1 species